UUAUCUACAGAAAACAUAUGCAACAAUUUCUAAACAUGUAGCUGUUCACAAAGAAUUUGAACCAUUCCAGUGUUGACACAGGCAGCAAGUGUAUGGACCAAGUAAAAAGAAUGGAUUUUAUCCCAGAGUACAUGUCUUGAUGGAAAAACUAUGCACCUACUCAGAAUUACCCUCACAGCC